GCAAGUCGAGCGAUAUAGCGGCGAACGGGUGAGUAAUACGUUGGAACCUGCCCCGGACUCAGGGAUAGCCCACCGAAAGGUGGAUUAAUACCGGAUAGUCCCGCAAGGGUAAAGCUUUUGCGGUCCGGGAGGGGCCUGCGCAGUAUCAGUUAGUUGGUAAGGUAACGGCUUACCAAGACUACGACGCUUAGCUGGUCUGAGAGGAUGAUC
rnacentral:rRNA from 1 species